rnacentral:lncRNA from 10 species
AAGACAUGUUGGUAGCAAAGACACUGCUCUGAGCAGAGACUGGUGGCAAAGCCCAGCGCAAUCCACCCUUCUGAGCACAGCCUACAGGAACUUCAGUGCCGACGGAGUCACGGAGGCCACUCUAGGUUUUACAUGGCCAUAGUUGAGCUUCUGAAAUUUUGAAGGAUCUCCCUGCCCACCCAGCUACUAGUCAUCCACUUGGUAAUGUAGACAGAAUGAAAAAGGCAGGAAAGAUCAUUCAUCAAAUUAUUUUCUAACAUCCGUUAUCUAGCAGGCUUUUACCAGGUACUAGAGAUGGAAAGAUGAGAAGGAAAAAUCGAAGUUGCUGACAAGCUUCUGUGAAAGCAAAUGUGGAAACAGACUACUGUGAAACUGAGGGGGAGGCAGACGUGUCGCAGAUAAACAUCCAAUAACAAGACUGGAGAGGAAAAUGGGAAGAACAUAUAUUCUCUCUCUUCACAGCCAGCUCCUCUCUGCUCCUCUCCUCGCUUCUGUGAACAAUUCCCUCAGCCUGUGUAUGAAUCAUGAUCACCAUUCACUAUAGAACCCUGACCUGUGUCCGGGUUGCCAGACAUAAUACAGGAUGCCUGAUGAAAUUUCAGAUCAAUGAAUAGUUUUUUAGUAUACAUACAUACCCAAUGUUGCAUGAAAUAUAAUGAUACUAAAGAAUUAUUCGUGUUUAAAAUUCAAAUUUCACUGUGGGCACUGCAUUUUUUCCCAAUUUUCAAACUGUGGUACUGUACACAUAAUGUAAAAUGUUUACCAUCUUAACCAAUUUCAAGUGUACAGUUAGUGGUACUAAAUACAUUCAUGAUGUGUGCAACCAUCAGCACCAUCC